rnacentral:lncRNA from 1 species
UCUGGAGAGAUAAAGCUCCAAUUUCUUUUCACUACCCAUGUACUAACUAACCCACGUCACCCUUGCCCUACUCCAUAGGUUCCAUUCUUUGUUCUUGUCCAAAUUCCAUGUAUUCUAUGCCCAACCCAGUUGAAUGUGUCCACAGAUAAAUCUUCUGUGCCACACUCUAUCAAAAACAUCUCAGAAGUCUAGGUGAAUUAUGCCCCACUCCUAGAGUUUUGUCUACUAAUUUUUUAAUGUACAUUAAAAAUUAACAAAAAUUUGUGAAGCAUAUUAUUUCACUUAUGAAUCCAUCUAUCUGGAAAUUAUUAUUUUUUCAGCCUCAUUUUCUACCUACGUUGCAACAAUUUCUGAGGUGGCUUUUGACAGCUGUUGUAUAUCUGUAAAGGAGAAGAAAAUAGCAAACCAUUCUUAUUUAUUUGCCAAGAAAACCCCAUGGAUUUUAUGGAGAGUCAAACAUGACCAAACAGCUGACCAACUUUAUGACUCCAGACUCAUGGUUCUAACCAUUGCACUACCAGCUACCUUAAUGUGCCUGAGGAAACAAUUCUGUAAGACCUAAAGACAAGAUUGAUUUUUCUCUUGGUUUUUAGCAGAGGCUAAAAUGACCUUUUGGGCAAGUUACAGUGUAUCUCCCUUUCAUGAAUGGGUUACACUAGAUGUUCUCUGGAAUUUGUUCUUGCUCCCUAAUUCUGUGAUUCUAUACUGAGACAAAACAAAGAGAAUCAGAAGUAGGGUUUGAGGGUGUUGAAAAAGAGAAAUAUAUAGAAACAGGGUAGUGUCAGUCUUAAGGAAAUUCAUGAUUUAGUCAUUCUUUCUCACCCAAGGCACCAUGAAACAAGAUGGUUCAGUGGAAAGAACUCUGAUUUAUAAAAUUAGACACGUGAGUUCUACUUUCCACUUUAGUACUAACUUGUUGGACCUCAGUUUUCCUUAACAUAAAAAGACCCAUAAUUUUUAUCAGUUAUACUCUUCCUCAAUUAAUCAAAUUAAAAUUUCUCUGUACUUUAUGAAACCAGUCUUGAUCCUGAGAUCUCAUUACUUUGGAUAAAACUCAAAGAAAUCCAAGACAGAAAGAAAGGCCCCAUGUCAACCAAAAUACUCAAGGAUCCAUUUUUAUAGCAGAGAAUAAAUGGAAACAAAGUAGACA